CUGGAAUCUAAAUCUUAAUUGUAAUCUCACCAGUCCUUGUCAGAUUUGGAUCUAUUCUCAUCCUGCUGCUUCUUCUGUCCCUCAUUACAAUCUAAUAGUUCACAGUGGUUUCCUUUUCAGCUAUUUUCCUGUCAGAUCCUCCUAAAAAGCAAGUCUCCAGUCGAAACCAAUCCAAGCAUGGACAACGAGCCUCAUUAUCAGAAUUUUCUUGAAAGAUGCUGCUGUGGCAUUGUUCAGAAUUCAAAAUGUUAGCAAGGAUGAUAGUAUGCUGUUACUAGGUCGACUCUUCUUGAACUGAUUUUACCUGCAAAUGGAAAACUACAAGCAAGUCACAUCUCCUGAAUGCCAACUUUCUGAGUUUUGAGCCUCUCUGUGGGAACACAAAUGGGAGACAGAAGGUAUAGGCAGAGAGUGGAACAUUCAAGUCCAGCUUACGGAUUUUUUCCACCUUGUUUCCUGCGGAACAGCAAAAGAAUUUAUGCAGCUGGCAUCUUCAUCUAC
rnacentral:lncRNA from 1 species